GGAUGGAAUGAUGAUUGUUGUUUCCUAUUGGUUUGAUUGUCACAAUGAUGGCAUUUUGUAUUCUCUAUCUGGCCAUUC
rfam:Cajanus cajan CcLG02_1362, whole genome shotgun sequence.